UAUUAAGGCGGGGGACGCCAGAAAUGGGCUUCACACAUUGUAUCCAUGUGGGGAAUCGAACCCGGGUCUUCGGCAUGAGUAGCGAACGCUUUAACCACUAGGCUACCAAACCGCCCCUACUG